UGGACGAACCUCUGGUGUUCCGGUUGUCACGCCAGUGGCAUUGCCGGGUAGCUAUGUUCGGAAUAGAUAACCGCUGAAAGCAUCUAAGCGGGAAACUAGCCUCAAGAUGAGAUCUCACUGGAACCUUGAGUUCCCUGAAGGGCCGUCGAAGACUACGACGUUGAUAGGUUGGGUGUGUAAGCGCUGUGAGGCGUUGAGCUAACCAAUACUAAUUGCCCGUGAGGCUUGACCAU
rnacentral:rRNA from 1 species